UCGAAUAGUCAACGAAAUAGAUAUACUUACUUCGAUGUUAAAUUCUCGCUCUUUUUCAAUGAUUUGACGGACGUUCAGUAUUUGCUCACUUGUAUCUUUCCCUGGUACAAAACCAGAGUUUGCUGCGAUUUUUAUGGCAAUGGAAAUACUUUAAGACGUUCAUUAAUGAGGUUGGGAUACUGCAGUCCUCAGCGACAGACCAAGAUUUUGUCUAGGCCAGUGAGACCAAAGGCCAUAGGGAUAAUAGUGUGAGGUGCUCAUAGUAGCAGUUUUCAUCAGGGGCAAUAUGACUGCCCUCCGGUACAUUCAAGAGGUCUUGAACUUCGUUUUCUGAGAACAUCCAGUUUUUCAACAAGAUAGGUAUAUAUGACCACAUGGGGGCUCAGAACAAUAUGAACAUAUUUGGGAUAUUAAAGCCUGGAGUAAGAUCCCCAAGAGAACAUCGGCACGUUUAGGAGUGCAUAAACAUUGCGGAGGGCCGACACAUUAUUAAGUUUUUCUAGGCUGUUAACCAUAGAAUUUCUUCAAUUUUUUAACGAAGUACUCAUGUCAGUAAGUAUAAGAAACCUGUAUACUAAACAUUACUUAAAUAAAACCAGUUUUACGGGGUGUUA